rnacentral:tRNA from 1 species
CUAGGGUCUGCUACUUAAGCAGUUGGGCUCAUGCCCCAAAAACGGUACACCUCUACCCCCUAGUAC